rnacentral:rRNA from 1 species
UACGAAGGGGGCUAGCGUUGCUCGGAAUCACUGGGCGUAAAGCGCACGUAGGCGGCUUCUUAAGUCAGGGGUGAAAUCCUGGAGCUCAACUCCAGAACUGCCUUUGAUACUGAGAAGCUUGAGUCCGGGAGAGGUGAGUGGAACUGCGAGUGUAGAGGUGAAAUUCGUAGAUAUUCGCAAGAACACCAGUGGCGAAGGCGGCUCACUGGCCCGGUACUGACGCUGAGGUGCGAAAGCCAGGGUAGCGAACGGG